rnacentral:tRNA from 1 species
GAAGACGUAGCUCAGUGGUAGAGUGCAAGCUUAGCAUGCACGAGGUCCUGGGUUCAAGCCCCAGUACCUCCA